UGAGGAAUAUUGGUCAAUGGGGCGUAAGCCUGAACCAGCCAAGUAGCGUGCAGGAUGACGGCCCUAUGGGUUGUAAACUGCUUUUAUACGGGAAUAAAGCUCUUCACGUGUGGAGAAUUGCAUGUACCGUAUGAAUAAGGACCGGCUAAUUCCGUGCCAGCAGCCGCGGUAAUACGGAAGGUCCGGGCGUUAUCCGGAUUUAUUGGGUUUAAAGGGAGCGUAGGCCGGAGAUUAAGCGUGUUGUGAAAUGUAGGCGCUCAACGUCUGCACUGCAGCGCGAACUGGUUUCCUUGAGUACGCACAAAGUGGGCGGAAUUCGUGGUGUAGCGGUGAAAUGCUUAGAUAUCACGAAGAACUCCGAUUGCGAAGGCAGCUCACUGGAGCGCAACUGACGCUGAAGCUCGAAAGUGC
rnacentral:rRNA from 1 species